rnacentral:lncRNA from 1 species
CUGCAACACGUAAGCGCACACCACGCAGUCUUCAGCAGACUGUUUACACUGGAAGGUUACCAGUUCGAGAAGGCGUUUAUCUCAGGCCUGGUUUUGACGUGGUCGACGAAGACCCUGACAGCGGCCCCCUGUGUCACGGAUUGGACGUUGGAGUCGACAACUAGAGUCACGAUUGGUACCUCAUUCUCAUAAGAUGAGCGGCUGGCCCCUACACACGUAUCUGAACUCGCGUGUAACUUGUAGUGUCGCAUUCUUUUUGUUAGUGGCUUUUCGGCGGAGGUAGUCGGUUCUGUGCUGCCUUCAAGCAUGCUGCCUAAAAUGCGCCGUGCUAUGCCUGCUUGCGGGUAACGCUCCGCCGGUGCGUACCCGACCCCUGUGGACACGGAGCGUGGUGGGCAGUCUCCACGAUCGUGGAAGGAUGGCAAGGCGUGGUUAGUCUAUCCGUAUCUCAGACAGGCAGUGGUGCCCCAUGGUGUGUGUGUUUCGUUAGACGUGUUUGAUGAUUCCCUGGCCCAACGAACGUCAUUGACAAGCGUAGGCUGAAUCGCAACGCUAUCUUCUUGAUGGAACCUGGGCAGAAGAGCGUGGGAGUUGUUGGUGCGCCAGUAAUCGCAUGUUCCCUUGCAAGAAUCGCGCGGUCGCCCGACCUCUCCCAGACCUGUUACGGCCGAGCACGUCCUUUUCAAGGAAUUCGUUUCAGGCCAUCCCUAACUUGUCUUCGUGUUAAGACUCAGACA